rnacentral:rRNA from 1 species
AUAAUUAACUACAGGAUAUAGAAUAUAAGGCUUCUUAUUUACUUAGCUAUACUUAAGCUAUAUACUAGCUAGUUAAUAGUUGGGUAGGUGACCACUAGCGAAUACUAGCUAUUAAUUGUU